rnacentral:rRNA from 1 species
UACGUAGGCAGCGAGCGUUGUUCGGAGUUACUGGGCGUAAAGCGUGCGUAGGCGGUGUCUUAAGUUUGUUGUGAAAUCUCCCGGCUUAACCGGGAGGGUGCGGCGAAUACUGAGAUGCUGGAGUGCCGGAGAGGUAAGCGGAAUUCCUGGUGUAGCGGUGAAAUGCGUAGAUAUCAGGAGGAACACCUGCGGUGUAGACGGCUUACUGGACGGUAACUGACGCUGAGGCACGAAAGCGUGGGGAGCGAACAGG